GUGGGCAGCCCUUUCCUCUCUCUUCUCCUCCCUUUCUCCUCUUUUCCCUUCCUUCCUGCCUUGGUCCAGGGCUGCCUACCCACUGCCCACCGCGUUGCCACAGGUGCCUCCUCUGGGGUCGCCCUCCCCUCCCCCAAGAGACUUACCCGCUUCCUCAGCCAUGGAAGGAGCGAGCAAGAGGGUGUCUGAGCAUGUGGAGAACGGCAGCUGUCAUGAAAAUUACUUGAAAAUAUGUACAUACAUAAUCAUAUAGGAAAGCUACAGUGAGAUUCGGUUUUGCUUUUCUUGGAAAAGGAGAUUCAUACAUUUGCUUCAGCCUCCUGCUAAAUCAUUCAAGACAAAGAGAAUGAUAGUCAGAAGAGACCCCAAGGGCCAUCCAGGUCAACCCCCUGCCAUGCAGGAACU